CGGAGGGUGCGAGCGUUGUCCGGAUUUAUUGGGUUUAAAAGGGUGCGUAGGCGGCCCGUUAAGUCCGGGGUGAAAGCCCGUUGCUCAACAACGGAACUGCCCUGGAUACUGACGGGCUUGAGUACAGACGAGGUUGGCGGAAUGGACGGAGUAGCGGUGAAAUGCAUAGAUACCGUCCAGAACCCCGAUUGCGAAGGCAGCUGACUAGGCUGUUACUGACGCUGAGGCACGACAGCGUGGGGAGCGAACAGGAUU
rnacentral:rRNA from 1 species